UAGCACAAGCAGGAACAGCCUUAAGGACUUUUCAUUGAGAUGCUAUUUGUAGUUGGUUAUAUUCAGGGUUUUAUAGUUGUAUUCCAGCUCAAGCGUGCCUCCAAAACGGGACGGUGUUACGAGUGUCUCUUCCGCGCAAUUUGCCGGCGUUGUAAACACGUGGUUUUCACAGGAGCAUCACAUGUGUUUCUUGUGUCUUGUCAGUUACCAACCUUUUUAAGAGCUGUGCGCAGAGGUGGCGAUUUGUGGCGUAAACUCUUCCGGUUACAACGGGUUACGGCAUCUGAUUAAUAGUUUUGAGCAGCGGCCCUGCUGCGUGAGCAGUGCUUCCCUGUUGCUCACGCCGAAUUUCGUCUGCGUUUUUAUAAAGGCAUAUCCUCUAGGCGCGAACUCCACAUCAUGCUCGGGAAGCUACCGUGCGCUGCGCCCCUGACGCUUGCCGGACCAUCCCCAUACUCUCAUUAAUGCCAACCCUCCCUCCUUCCUCCCCAUCAGAAGGGACCCAAAAGAACACAACGUGCCCUUAAAUGAAGCUAAUCCCUUGCUUUUUCCAGGUCCGUUUCGUAUUCCUGCAAGAUACAUCCAAAAAUACGGUAGUCUCUCCAGCCGACUCCAGUCCAUCUGAAUGCAUGAAGCCGCAUGUUUGCUUUCCGUUGGACGUCAGCCAGACAAGCCAGCAUCCAAGUAGCAAAACAUCCACAACAGCCAAUGCCCUCUGCACGAUCAUAGUGUUAUUAGGACAGCACCA
rnacentral:lncRNA from 1 species